UACAGAGGGUGCGAGCGUUAAUCGGAGUUACUGGUCGUAAAGGGCGCGUAGGCGGUUAUGUAAGUUAGUUGUGAAAUACCUGGGCUUAACCUGGGAACUGCAACUAAAACUGCGUGACUGGAGUACUGUAGAGGGUAGUGGAAUUUCCGGUGUAGCGGUGAAAUGCGUAGAGAUCGGAAGGAACACCAGUGGCGAAGGCGGCUACCUGGACAGAUACUGACGCUGAGGCGCGAGAGCGUGGGGAGCAAACAGG
rnacentral:rRNA from 1 species